rnacentral:misc_RNA from 1 species
CACAUAUCUGUACGCUAUACCCGCCAGCGCCUAAGCCCAAUCCCACCCAUCUUCUUCAACCUCAACCCCUUUCUUUUUAUCUCUCUAGGGUUUCUGUGUUGUGCAGUGUCAUAAUCUCCAAUGGAUGAUCCCACGAUUUCACCAUUGACUGUCCAAUCAGUUCCUUCGUCCCAGCUGAAUGUUCCUGCCAUCAUGCCACGCCCGUCUCUGAAUCUCGAAACCCUAACUCCAUCUGACCACGUGAGCCGCUUGAUCAAUUCCAACCACUAUAUAUCUCCGUCAAGAACGAUUUAUUCCGAUAGGUUUAUUCCUAGCAGAUCCAACUCCAAUUUUGCCCUAUUCAACAUCUCGUCGUCUUCGCCUCCAUUGUCGACGAAUCCUCCGGCGUCUGA